CGUGCCAGCAGCCGCGGUAAUACGGAGGAUCCAAGCGUUAUCCGGAAUCUUUGGGUUUAAAGGGUCCGUAGGCGGUUUAAUAAGUCAGUGGUGAAAUCUGGUCGCUCAACGAUCAAACGGCCAUUGAUACUGUUAGACUUGAAUUAUUAGGAAGUAACUAGAAUAUGUAGUGUAGCGGUGAAAUGCUUAGAGAUUACAUGGAAUACCAAUUGCGAAGGCAGGUUACUACUAAUUGAUUGACGCUGAUGGACGAAAGCGUGGGUAGCGAACAGGAUUAGAUACCCUGGUAGUCCACGCCGUAAACGAUGGAUACUAGCUGUUCGGAGCAAUCUGAGUGGCUAAGCGAAAGUGAUAAGUAUCCCACCUGGGGAGUACGUUCGCAAGAAUGAAACUCAAAGGAAUUGACGGGGGCCCGCACAAGCGGUGGAGCAUGUGGUUUAAUUCGAUGAUACGCGAGGAACCUUACCAAGGCUUAAAUGUAGAUUGACCGUUUUGGAAACAGAACUUUCGCAAGACAAUUUACAAGGUGCUGCAUGGUUGUCGUCAGCUCGUGCCGUGAGGUGUCAGGUUAAGUCCUAUAACGAGCGCAACCCCUGUUGUUAGUUGCCAGCGAGUCAAGUCGGGAACUCUAGCAAGACUGCCAGUGCAAACUGUGAGGAUGGUGGGG
rnacentral:rRNA from 1 species